CUAGACGGCACUCACGCAGCGCUGGGCAUAAGGAAUGCCCUGCACUAGACGGCACUCACGUAGCGCUGGGCAUAAGGAGACGCCACUAAUGCAGCACUACAGAGACUGUACAUCUGAGGAGGGAGGCAGCCAUCAAGACCCUGUGCCUUUUAUUUUGGUGAAGAUGAUGAUUCUCUCAUACAUGUACAUGGAUAUCCAUGGCGAGGAGGCGUCAAGAGAAAACCACCCCUUGGAACAUGAGGACAUCGGCAUUGUUGUGGAUGGAGGCAUCAUUUUGGAGGAACCUUGGUCUGUUGCACAAGGCUGUGCAGUGAAGCUAGGGGUCAUAUACACGUUGAAUCAAUGUUGAGCUCUUCAAUACUAUUACAAAUUCAUGCAAAAAGUUGUCAUUCAGAUGGAUGGUGAUAAGCUCUUACCCAAGGUUCUCAAUCUUAAGAGUCCCUAUAUUUGUAGACUGUUACUGCAUGGCAACACUUAAUAGCUGUCCUGGUUUCUCCUGCUAAUCAGACAUUCCCUUGGAGGAAAGCAGCCCAAACAAACUUGCUUUUCUAGGACAGUGAUAUAAAGAUAGGCCAUAUGAAACUACAAGCUCUAGGAGUCACCACGAUAAAAGUAUAAGGAUUAACGUAUGCAGCCUUUCCAUGACCUGUAUAAAUGGUUAAAGGAACAUGCCACCGUUUUAUGAAAUUGGGUUAUUCUGCACCCUAGUAGCAGUGCUUCGGCCCAAUAUAGUCUCAAGUCAAUAUCUGCCUAAGAAAAAGCCUCGUCUUAACCUGCAUUGUCAAUGUACUCGUUGUGAAUGUGCAGGCCACAAGAAGUAUUUUUUUUUUUUGGCUCACUUUUACUCACAACAUGCUAUACGGCAACGAGAGAUUCUAUUCACUAUGCUAA